rfam:Danio rerio unplaced genomic contig CTG470, GRCz11 reference primary assembly.
GGACCUGUGGCUUAAUUGGUCAAAGCGCCUGUCUAGUAAACAGGAGAUUCUUGGUUCAAACCCCUAAAGUUCCU